CGCCGCCCCAUCGAUCACUCGGCGCUCCCGCACUCGGGCGCGCCCCCGCGACCGCCCGGCGCGCGCCCGCCGCUCCCCGCUCGCAGCGCAGACUGAGACUAAUUAUGGAAGAGAAAUCCAGAAAAUGACAGAAAAGCAUUAAUUUUCCUCUUCUAGGACAGUCAUGUUGGAAGGAUUGGUAGCCUGGGUCCUCAACACCUACUUGGGCAAAUAUGUCAAUAACCUGAAUACAGACCAGCUUUCAGUGGCACUUCUAAAAGGUGCUGUUGAAUUGGAAAACUUGCCACUCAAAAAAGAUGCCUUAAAGGAGCUGGAAUUACCAUUUGAAGUAAAGGCAGGUUUUAUUGGCAAAAUAACACUACAGAUCCCUUUUUAUCGUCCACAUGUGGAUCCAUGGGUGAUAUCUGUCUCAAAACUGCACUUAAUUGGUGCACCAGAAAAAACACAAGAGUUUGAUGAGGAAAGGGAAAAGUUGCAAGAAAGAGAACACAAGAAAGCCCUUCUGCUGGCGCUUGAAGAAAAAUGGAAGAAAGAACAACAACAGAAAGGGGAGUCUUACUGGUACUCAGUUACUGCAUCUGUAGUCACAAGAAUUGUAGAAAACAUCGAAUUAAAAAUCCAGGAUGUGCAUUUGAGGUUUGAAGAUGGUCUCACAAAUCCCUCGCAGCCGUUUGCAUUUGGCAUCUGCAUCAAAAAUGUCUCAAUGCAAAAUGCAGUGUUUGAACCAGUGGAGAAGCUGAUGCGGAAAAAACAGUUGGAUGUUGCUGAUUUCAGUGUUUAUUGGGAUACCAGUUGCACUUUACUGGGUGACCUGCCUCCUGGUCAGCUACAGGAAGCAAUGGAUAGAAGUAUGGAAAGUCGUGAUCAUAAUUACAUCAUGGAGCCUGUCUGCACUUCUGCUCUCCUCAAGAGGAAUUGUUCUAAGGAGCCUUUAAGAUCCCGGCAUACUCCACGGCUGGAGUGUGACAUUCACCUCGAGACCAUACCCCUGAAGCUUUCCCAGAUGCAGUAUCAGCAGAUCAUGGGAUUUUUAAAGGAAUUGGCUAGAAAGGAACGACAGCUUAAAUUCAGGAAGUGGAAACCAAAGGUUGCAGUAACAGAGAACUGCCGGGAGUGGUGGAUCUUUGCUCUGAAUGCAAAUCUUUCGGAGAUCAGGGAGCAGAGGCAGCGUUCCACGUGGGCGUUCGCACUGCGUCGGGCCCGGGAUGCCGUGUCCUACACGGACUUGUACUACAGCAAGCUGAAGGGGGAACCACUGUCUGCUGCAGACCAGGCAGAAAUGCAUCGUAUUGAGGAUGAGCAGACUUAUGAAGAGUUGAAGAUUCUGUAUGAGAUAGUUCAUAAUAAAUUUCAUGACUUAGCUGAGAGUGUUAAAGAGCCUUUGCCUGAUUCCAUUGGAGGUUCCCCUCCAGCAGAACCUGCCCACAGCAGCAGCUCUGGGAUGCUGCAGUACCUGCAGUCGUGGUUUCCUGGCUGGGGAGGUUGGUAUGGAUAUGCUCAGCAGACAUAUGAAGGUGAACCUUUUGAAGGGCUGCUGCCAGACACGAAGGAGCAGUGGAAUCCUGAAGACAUUCUGGGUACGGAUGAUUUUUUUGAUCCUGCUGCAGAUGCUUCCAGCAUGAAUACUUUUACCAAGAGAGAUCAUGUUUUUGCUAAAUUAAAUCUACAGCUGCAGGGUGGUUCUUUCACUCUCUUGCAUAGGAAGAAAAAGAUACUGUGUGCAGAAGAGACUGCUUUUAUGCAGCUGGAGUUUUCAGGUGUAAAGAUCUUGGCAGAAUCCCUUCCUCGCAGAAAGUCUUCCCUUCUCAAAGUUCAACUUGGUGGUCUUUUCCUGAGGGAUUUGGCAACAGAAAGGACCAUAUUUCCUGUUCUUGUUUUCCCAAACCCUCAAAAAGAGGUUGGCUGCAUGUCUUCCUUUGGACUCCAAAGUUUGUCCUCAGAAAUGACUAAUCAGAACACUGUUGCAGAUCCUGAUGCCCCAGUAUUUGAGAUGCUUUAUGAAAGAAAUCCCAUUCACAGCACUUUUGAGAGGCGCCUGGAAGUCAGUACCAGACCUCUAAAUAUUAUUUACAAUCCACAAGCCAUUAAGAAAGUAGCUGACUUCUUCUACAAGGGAAGGGUUCAUACCUCAGGUUUUGGUUAUCAGUCUGAGUUAGAGGCAAGAGUGGCUGAAGCUGCCAGAAGACAGUACAACAAGCUGAAAAUGCAGACAAAAGCUGAAAUCAGACAAACCAUCGAUCGUUUAUUAGUUGGAGACUUCAUUGAAAACAGCAAAAGCUGGACUGUGUGCCUUGAUAUCUCUGCCCCUCAGGUGAUCUUUCCUGAUGAUUUCAAAUUUGCAGAUCCUGUGUUAGUUGUUGUAGAUCUGGGAAGAAUGUUACUCACAAAUUCUCAAGAAGACUCUAAGAGGAGUGCAAGUGCCAUUUCUUCAGAAGUCAAUGAACUGAGUGAUGAGGAAUAUAAAACACCUCUUGCAACUCCUCCCAAUACUCCACCUCCAGAAUCCAACACCAAUAGUGGCAUCAAAAUGUCCGAAUUUACUGGAGUAGAAAUAAGUGAAGAGCAGCUACAGGCACACUUAAUGAGUAAAAAAAUGUAUGAGAGAUACACUCUUUCUUUUAUGGACCUUCAGAUCAUGGUGGGCCACGUGAAAGACAACUGGAAGCACGUUCAGGAUAGUGAUGUGGGUCCAACUCAUGUGGUGGAAAAAUUCAAUGUUCACCUGCAGCUGGAGCGCAGACUGAUAUACACAUCUGACCCAAAAUACCCAGGAGCUGUCUUGUCUGGCAACCUGCCAGACUUGAAAAUUCACAUCAAUGAAGACAAAAUCCUGGCUCUGAAGAACUGUUUGUCACAGCUGAGUACAUCUGAAGCUAAGUCUUCAGAUGCCCUCCAUUUAGGGAAAGACAAGAUUUUUGCAGAGGUAGACCAGUUUGGCAGUUUGCACGAUUCUGUAAUGAAUCUAACACAGAGUGUUGUCAUGCUGGAGCAGCACACUCGGGAAGUUCUUGUUGAGUCCCAGCUGCUUUUGGCUGAGUUCAAAGUAAACUGUAUGCAGUUGGGUGUUGAGAGUAAUGGGCGAUACAUCUCUGUGCUCAAGGUUUUUGGCACCAAUGCCCAUUUUGUGAAAAGGCCUUAUGAUGCAGAGGUGUCCCUGACUGUCCAUGGCCUGUUACUGGUUGAUACUAUGCAAACAUACGGAUCAGAUUUUGAUCUUUUGAUGGCUUCUCAUAAGAACCUGAGCUUUGAUGUGCCAACAGGAAGCCUUCGAGACAGCAGGGCUCAGUCUCCAGUUUCUGGACCACAUGAUGCACAUCCCAUUGAUGGUGCUGGUUUGGCAGAGAGAUGCACUACAGCCUCCAACACCUCACCUGGUAACAGUGGAAAAGAUCAAGAGUCCUUGAUAAAAUUGGAGUAUCAGUUUGUGAGUGCAGAAUGCCCAUCGAUGAACUUGGAUAGCAGUCUGCAGGUGAUCUCUGUACAGGUGAACAACCUGGAUAUCAUCCUUAACCCAGAGACUAUUGUUGAACUGAUUGGGUUUCUCCAGAAAUCUUUCCCCAAGGAGAAAGAAGAUUCCAGUCCUCAGCCUUUAACAGCUGACAUGGAGAGAGAUUGGAGGGAACAGGAAACAUUCCAGUCUACUUAUGCACAGAACACAGAGGUAGCAGUUGAUAUUCACUGGUUAAAUGUACUCCUCCUCAGGACAGUUGGCAUGACAAAUGGAGAAAAAUACGGCAGAAAAAUUGCAACAGCCAGUAUUGGUGGCACCAAAGUCAAUGUCUCCAUGUGUAGUAAACUGGAUGUGAAUGGCUCUCUUGGGUGCCUUCACCUUAUGGAUCUGACCCAAGACAAUGUAAAGAACCAGUAUGUGGUGAGCAUAGGGAACACAGGGCGGUAUGAAAAUCUAAUUGGCGAUGGAAAUUUCUUGGAAUCUUUUUUCUUUAGGCUUGAUGAUGGAAAUAGCCUUCCAGAUGCUUUAAGUUUCGUUUUCACAGAAAAGUCGAAAGAGGAGUGUUCUCUCAACCUCAAAAUGGCCUCCUUGCACUACAACCACUCAGCCAAAUUUUUGAAAGAACUGACUUUGUCCAUGGAUGAGCUGGAAGAGAAUUUCCGCAGCAUGUUGAAAAGUGCAGCUUCGAAAGUUACAACAGUCUUGGCAACUAAAACUGCUGAAUACAGUGAAAUGGUUUCUUUGUUUGAUACCACACCACGAUCACGAGAUGUUGCCAGUGCAGAAGAUAACGAAGGCGAUGCAUUUGGAUCACAGUCCCUCAAAGCUGAUACUAUCAAGCUUAUAUUAAAUGUAAACAUUGAAUCCCCAAUUGUCUCCAUACCUCGAAAGCCUGGUAGCUCUGAGCUGCUUGUAGGUCAUCUAGGACAAAUAUCUAUUCAGAAUUUUGUACCAGGAGAAGAUGAGUCCACAAGUGAUAGGCUGCAAGUUGAAAUUAAAGAUAUUAAGAUGUAUUCAUUAAAUAGUAGUCAAUUUACAAACAAGAAGGUGCCUGCAAGUGAGAUACCCCAUGGGCCACAUUCUUCAUCAGGUUCUGCCAGCAUUAACAGCCAGGAAGAAUCUCAUUUUACUCGUCAUGACUUCUUUGAAUCACUACACAAAGGCCAUGCUUUCCACAUUCUGAAUAACACCACCAUCCAGUUUGAAUUGGAAAAGAUACCACUAGAGAAAGAUUUGUAUUUAACAUUUCCUCUGUGUAAUGAAGACUUUGAAAUAUCAAGCAUUAUGAAGAUUGAAGGGAAAUUUGUGAAUCCUCUUCAGGUGGUGUUAGCAAAACAUGUGUAUGAACAAGUCCUUCAGACUCUGGAUAAUUUAAUUUACAGUGAAGACUUGAACAAAUUUUCAACCACUUCUGUAUCUCCAACUGGUCUUAGUUCUCCUUCAGCAUCACUUCACAGUACAAGCACAGACUUCUUGAGUGAACGGAAGGAAAAUGGCUUAUUCAGCCACUCUAGUUUUAAUUCUGUUCCAAACAAGCCCUUAGCUAUCAGGGAAACAAAAUCUUUUACUCAAAUUCAAGCAAACUUCCACAUCUCAGAGCUCCAGGUCCAGUUAAGUGGUGAUCUCACACUUGGGGCUCAAGGGCUUGUCAGCCUUAAGUUUCAGGAUUUUGAUGUUGAGUUUGCCAAAGAUCACCCUCAAACCUUGUCCAUUCAGAUUGCCUUACGUUCCCUGCUGAUGGAAGAUCUCCUGGUAAAGAAACCAGACUCUAAGUAUAAGAACCUCAUGGUGUCCCGUGGAGCACCCAAACCAUCCAGUUUAGCACACAAGGAAUAUCUUUCACAGUCCUGUCCCUUAGUAUCCAAUGCAGAAUAUCCAGAUAUGCCACGUUCCCUCCCUUCCCAUAUGGAAGAAGCACCUAAUGUCUUUCAGCUCUACCAAAGACCAGUUUGUGCCUCCCGUAAGAAGCAAAAAGAAGAUGCUGAUUCUGAGUAUCCUCUGACUCCACCUCCUUCUCCAUCAGGAGACAGAUCCAAGUUGCCCUGUGGAAAAAGUAACUUUGAUGAUUCAUUAGUUCAUAUCAAUAUAUUCCUAGUGGAUAGGAAACAUCCUGAAUUUUGUUCUCGCUAUAGCAAAAUUAACCGUAGUGUAGAUGUUGAUUUCAAUUGUCUAGAUGUGUUAAUAACUUUGCAAACUUGGGUAGUGAUACUGGAUUUCUUUGGGAUUGGAUCCACUGCUGAUAACCAUGCCAUGAAGCCUCAGCCUGAAGAUACUCAGCAGACAAUCAAAGCAGAAAUAAAUUCCUUGUCAGCUUCUCAAGCCCAAGAGCCUGUAAACACUAAGCUGGAUCUAAAGGUCCAUUCUUUAUCCUUAGUCCUGAAUAAGACAACCAGUGAGCUUGCUAAAGCCAGUGUGGCAAAACUUGCAGCUCACUUGGAAGUGAUUGAGGGAGAUUUAGCCUUGCAGGGAAGUAUUGGAAGUCUGUCCUUAAGUGAUCUUACAUCUCACGGAGAAUUUUACAGAGAACGUUUCACUACAAGUGGUGAAGAGGCACUCAUUUUUCAGAUCUUUAAGUACGGGAGGCCGGACCCGCUGCUGCAGCGGGAAUGUGACGUCCGUGUGUCCCUGCGCAUGGCCUCUGUCCAGUAUGUGCACACCCAGCGCUUCCAGGCCGAGGUGGUGUCCUUCAUCCAGCAUUUCACUCAGCUCCAAGAUGUCUUGGGAAGGCAGAGAGCAGCGAUUGAAGGACAAACAGUGAGAGAUAAAGCCCAGAGAGCUUCCCGAGUUCUUCUUGAUAUUGAGGCUGAGGCUCCUGUUCUUCUUAUACCUGAGAGCUCCAAGUCUAACAGUCUUAUUGUAGCUAAUCUGGGAAAACUGAAAGUGAAGAACAAAUUCCUGUUUGCAGGAAUGCCAGGCACCUUUUCAUUAAAGAACAAGGAUUCAGUUCAAUUUUCCUCUCCUAUGGGAACCCCAAAACACAGCAUGAAGAAAACAAGUGCUGAUGAGUCCAAAUUAGCUAUGGAAGGAUUGGUCAUGAAAAAACCAUCAGGGACAAACAUUCCUAGGCUGAAGAGUGAGCCUGCAGUGAGCACAUCGAGUAAGCAGCCAGGACAGCCAUCAAAGCUGCCUGUUGCCCCAAACCCUGAGAGCCCAGAGGAUCACAUCUGCCUCUUAGACUGCAUUGUGGUUGAUCUGCAGGACAUGGACAUCUUUGCUGCUGAAAGAUACCAGAGAGAGUAUUCCAAGGCUGUGGAAGACACCAUUGCAGAUUUGAGCUUUCCAUCCUACUUGGUGAGGCAGACAGGAGAGAGCCUGCUGACAGAACCCUUCAGACUGAAGUUAAAAGUAGAGAGAAACUUGGACAAGGAGCUGAGUCACACCGUUGCAGACAUUUCAAUCCAUGGCAAUCUGUCCUCAGUGCACUGCUCUCUGGAUCUGAACAAGUACAAACUGAUCCGUGGGCUGCUGGAGAACAACCUGGGGGAGCCCAUCGAGGAGUUCAUGCGCCCUUACGACUUGCAGGAUCCAAGGAUUCUUACAGUUUUGAGUGGAGAAGUGUAUACUUCCAUGUCAUUCCUCAUUGACAUGGUUAAUGUGAGCCUGGAACUGAUGGAUCCAAAAGGAAAAGAUGGAUGCAGCUCUUUAGCCAGGUUUGACUUUAAGAAAUCCAAGUUGCUUUUUGAAAGUUCUUCAAACGGAACAAAGUCUGUAAAUCUGGUCUCUCAUUCCAUGAUGGCCUUUGACACUCGUUAUGCUGGACAGAAAUAUGCUACAGGCCCCCCAAAUGUCUUCAAUUGCAUCUUUCAGUCAUCAAAGAACACCAGCAGCCCAGGAGCAAUCCAAAUUGAAUUGCAUUUCAGGUCUACUAAGGAUUCCUCCAGUUUCACAGUUGUUCUGAACAAUCUUCGUGUGUUCCUGAUAUUUGACUGGUUGUUACUGGUUCAUGACUUUUUAUACACCCCUGGAGACACCAAAAAGCGAGAAAAUCCCCAGCGAACCUGCAUCAGUGACACAGCUGUUGUUCCCAAAACUGUGAAAAGUGGAGUGGUUACCAAACGUUCCUCACUCCCUGUGACAGCAGAAAAGCACCUGGAAGUCAGGGUUAAUGUGACAGGAACUGAAUUUGUGGUUGUUGAAGACAUGUCCUGCUUCGAUACCAAUGCAAUUAUUCUGAAGGGAACCACUGUUCUCACUUACAAGCCCAAGUUGUUAGAUCGUCCUUUCUCUGGCAGUUUGUUUGGCAUUGAGGUGUUUUCAUGCCGGUUAGGAAAUGAGCAAGAGACUGCACUGUCAAUCAUUGAUCCAGUACAGAUUCAUAUGGAACUUAUUGGGAAUUCUUCCUACCCAAGUGGUUCAGGACUGCUGGAUGCUUUCAAUAGUGAAGAUUUUCCUCCUAUUCUAGAGAUUCAGUUGCAAGCACUGGAUAUCAGACUGUCCUAUAAUGAUGUUCAGCUCUUCUUGGCAAUUGCAAAGUCAAUUCCCCAACAGACGAGCGCAGCUCUGCCUGACCCGGCUGCCCCAAGUGCUGCUGAUCCCUCCAGUUCAGCCCUGGGGAGUGAGACCUUGGCACAUGAGACCAGAGAUGGAUCCAAACGUGUGCUGGAUCCUGUUCUUGAGGUCCAGCUGGCUCGCCUCCAGGAGCUGGGAUUCUCUAUGGAAGAUUGUCGUAAAGCUCUUUUGGUCUGCCAAGGUGACUUGAAAAAAGCAGCAAGUUGGUUGUUUAAGAAUGCUGAUCCUCUGAAAUCAGUUUCCCAGACCUCUUCUGGUCGAGAUAGCCAGGGGAUUGUGCCCUUCCAGUUCGUCUCUGGAGUGAAAAUAAAGGCAGAAAGUGUCUGCAUCUGCUUUAUAGAUGACUGCAUGGACUGUGACGUUCCCCUGGCUGAAUUAACCUUUUCACGUUUGAAUUUUCUCCAACAUUUGAGAACCAGCCCUGAGGGCUACGCUCAUUUUACCCUCUCUGGAGAUUAUUACAACCGUGAGCUUUCAGGCUGGGAGCCCUUUAUUGAGCCGUGGCCGUGUUCAGUGUCUUGGCAACAACAAGCUUCGAGCCGCCUGCACCCUUCCCGCCUGAAGCUGGAGGUGAAGGCCAAACCACGGCUGGAUAUAAACAUCACCUCUGUUCUCAUAGAGCAAUACACAUGUACCAAGCAGUCCUGGAUGGAAGAUUAUUGUAAACAGGAGAAAGAAGUGAAUGUAAUCAGCUCAGAAGAUUGGAUGGGUUCUUCGGUGGAUCCCCCAUGUUUUGGGCAGAGCCUUCCUCUUGUGUACCUUAGAACUAGGAGUACAGCCAGUUUGACUAACCUAGAGCAUCAGAUCUAUGCUAGAGCUGAGAUGAAGACUCCAAAGCGCAGGCAGCCGUUUGUCCCCUUUGCUCUGAGGAAUCACACUGGCUGCACUCUCUGGUUUGCCACCCUGACUACGACCCCAACCCGGGCUGCGCUGUCUCACAGUGGGAGUCCAGGUGUUGUUCCUGAGGAAAACGGGACGUUGCUGGGUGAUGCCCAUAAUGUCAGUGAAUGGCAAGAGGUUAUCACUGGGGAAGAGGUUCCGUUUGAGUUUGAAACCAGAGGGAAACUCAGACACAGGCACACACAUGAUCUGAGGAUUCAUCAGUUGCAAGUGAGAGUAAAUGGCUGGGAAGAAGUGAGUCCAGUGUCUGUGGACAAAGUUGGAACAUUUUUCCGAUAUGCUGCACCAGAUAAGAAUUCCUCCUGUUCUACUCUUGGAAGCCCAAUAAGUAGAACAAAUAUAAUACAUCCACAAGUCUAUUUUUCUUCAUUGCCUCCAGUUCGUGUGGUGUUUGAAGUUACCAUGGAGGGGAGCGCCCGGAAGGUGAUAACAGUGCGCUCAGCCCUGAUGGUGAAGAACAAGCUGGAAAUUCCAAUGGAACUGCGACUGGACAGUCCUUCUGCCCCUGACAAGCCUGUAGUCCUUCCAGCAGUUAUGCCAGGAGAUUCCUUUGCUAUUCCAUUGCAUCUCACAUCCUGGCGUUUGCAAGCCAGGCCCAAAGGAAUGGGAGUCUUCUUCUGUAAGGUUCCAAUUCACUGGACUAAUGUCCAGAAGGCAGCAGAGGUGUGCAGCAGCAAGAGGGAGUGUCACUCCAUAGAGUCUGAAAACAGCCGCUUUUUCAGGUUUUGUGUUGCCAUAAAGAAGGAAAAUUACCCAGAUUACAUGCCUUCCAGCAUAUUCUCUGACAGUGCUAAGCAGAUUUUCAGGCAGCCUGGGCAUACCAUUUAUCUCCUGCCAACGGUGGUGAUCUGCAAUCUGCUGCCUUGUGAGCUGGAGUUCUACGUGAAGGGUUUGCCCAUCAGUGGGACGCUGAAGCCUGGCAAAGAGGCUGCCUUGCACACGGCUGACACUGCCCAGAACAUUGAGCUUGGGGUGUUGCUAGAAAACUUCCCAGUGUGCAAAGAGCUGUUGAUUCCUCCAGGGACACAAAACUACAUGGUGCGGAUGCGAUUGUACGACGUCAAUAAACGGCUGCUCAAUCUGACCAUACGGAUCGUGUGUCGUGCUGAAGGCUCCCUAAAAAUACUCAUUUCAGCUCCAUAUUGGUUAAUCAACAAAACAGGAUUGCCCCUAAUCUUCAGACAAGAUAAUGCAAAAACAGAUGCAGCUGGUCAGUUUGAAGAGCAUGAGCUUGCUAGAAGCCUCAGUCCACUUCUGUUCUGUUAUGCUGAUAAAGAACAGCCAAACUUCUGCACGAUGCGGGUUGGAAGAGGAAUCCAUCCUGAGGGAAUGCCUGGCUGGUGCCAGGGUUUCUCCCUGGAUGGUGGUAGUGGUGUCAGAGCCCUGAAGGUGAUCCAGCAUGGAAACCGGCCUGGCCUCAUCUAUAACAUUGGUAUUGAUGUAAAAAAAGGCAGAGGCCGUUACAUUGACACCUGCAUGGUCACCUUUGCUCCUCGGUACCUGUUAGACAAUAAAUCAAGCUACAAACUGGCUUUUGUUCAGCGGGAAUUUGCCAGAGGUCGGGGAACAAGCAAUCCUGAUGGCUACAUCUCCACCCUCCCUGGUUCCAGUGUGGUGUUCCACUGGCCACGGAAUGAUUAUGAUCAGCUGUUGUGUGUGAGGCUGAUGGAUGUCCCAAACUGCAUUUGGUCUGGGGGCUUUGAGGUCAACAAGAACAAUUCGUUCCACAUUAAUAUGAGGGACACCCUGGGAAAAUGUUAUUUCUUAAGAGUAGAAAUCACCCUCCAAGGAGCCACGUACCGCAUUGCGUUCAGCGACACCGACCAGUUACCGCCACCUUUCCGCAUUGACAACUUUUCCAAGGUGCCAGUUGUGUUUAAGCAGCAUGGGGUGGUGGAGCCCAGGCUGUCCACUGAUGUGAAGCCCAUGACCUCUCUGGAUUAUGCAUGGGAUGAGCCCGUCCUGCCUCCCUUCAUCAUGCUGACAGUGAAAGGAGCAGGCUCCUCAGAGGUUGUCUGCUGCAUGAAUGACUUCCAAGACAGCAAGCAGCUUUACUAUGAAAAUUUCAUCUAUAUUGCUGCUACAUAUACUUUCUCAGGGUUACAGGAGCCAGGUGUAAGACCAGUUACAUCAAACAAGGAUGCUGCAAAUGCAGAGCUUGUCCUUGAUGUGUCUCCAAAGACUCAACGAGUUUUGCUGAAAAAGAAGGAGCCAGGAAAGCGAUCCCAGCUCUGGAGGAUGACAGACUCAGGAAUGCUUUGCCAUGAAGGUUCUUCAGUUCCUCACAACCCUCACAAACCUUCUCCUCGCUCCGAGGACUCCAGUAUGAUUUUGGAUAUCGCAGGCCUGGCAGCUGUCACAGAUAACAGGUACGAGCCGCUGAUGCUGAGAAGGCCGGAUCGGCGGCGCAGCACCACCCAGACCUGGAGCUUUCGGGAUGGGAAGCUGACCUGUGGCAUCCAUGGACUUGUUGUCCAGGCAAAGGGAGGACUGCAGGGUCUUCAUGAUGGAGCUGAAGUUGUUCUUGGUCCUGAUAACUCACUUGAACUUUUAGGGCCAGUUCCACCUGAACAGCAGUUCACAAACCAAAAGAUGAGGCCUGGCUCAGGAGUACUGACUGUGAGAGUUGUGCCAGAUGGGCCAACUAGGGUUCUGCAGAUAAGUGAUUUGAACCAGCGUAGAAAUGAUCGUUCAUUCAGUGAAGGAGAAGAACUUCCAGUUACGGAACAAGAUCUGCGCAAGUUCAAAAAUCCAGAUACAGAACGGGAGUUAGAAGUGCUGGUGAAACUGGAAGGUGGAAUAGGAUUGUCUUUGGUCAACAAAGUCCCUGAAGAGCUUGUGUUUGCAAGCCUCACCAGAAUUCAUGUCCACUACACUCAGCUCUCAACCAGUCAGGUGCUAGAGCUCAGUGUGCAUGAUAUACAGGUGGACAACCAACUUAUUGGCACCACACGGCCUUUUAUGCUCUUUCUGACACCCAGUAUGAGUGAGAAUGAGCCCUUGGACCUUGGGCCUGCUGUGCAAGUCAAUGCCAUGAAAUUUCCCAGUAAAAAUGCACUGACUGAUAUAUACAAGCAUCUGAUGAUCACUGCCAGAAAGUUCACAGUUCAAAUUGAGGAGAAGCUACUUCUGAAGCUGUUGAGUUUCUUUGGCUACAACCAGUCGGAAUCAGAAGUCGAAAAGUAUGAUGAAAAUCUCCAUGAGAAGGUUGUUGAACAAGCUGGGGCACAAAAACGAUACUACUUUGAAAAUCUGAAAAUCAGUAUGCCUCAAAUCAAGUUGAGUGUCUUCACUUCCAACAAGCUCCCUUUGGAUCUCAAGGCCUUGAAAAGCACACUGGGGUUCCCUCUGAUCCGAUUUGAAGAUGCUGUGAUUAAUCUGGAUCCUUUCACUCGGGUCCAUCCAUAUGAAACUCAGGAGUUCAUCAUUAAUGACAUUCUGAAACACUUCCAGGAGGAGCUGCUGAGUCAGGCAGCAAGGAUUCUAGGUUCUGUGGAUUUCCUAGGCAACCCUAUGGGUCUACUGAAUGAUGUUUCAGAAGGUGUUACUGGACUUAUAAAGUAUGGCAAUGUGGGUGGUCUCAUCAGAAAUGUCACUCAUGGAGUAUCAAACUCUGCUGCAAAGUUUGCUGGGACUUUGUCGGAUGGUUUGGGAAAGACCAUGGAUAACAGACAUCAGACAGAGCGGGAAUACAUCCGGUAUCAUGCUGCAACCAGUGGAGAGCACCUUGUAGCUGGAAUCCAUGGACUUGCACAUGGUAUCAUUGGAGGAUUGACAAGUGUCAUAACAUCGACAGUGGAAGGUGUGAAAACGGAAGGAGGGGUCAGUGGUUUCAUAUCUGGCCUGGGGAAGGGGCUGGUGGGCACCGUCACCAAACCCGUGGCCGGAGCUCUGGAUUUCGCGUCGGAAACCGCGCAGGCAGUGAGGGACACCGCGACCCUGAGCGGCCCCAGACAGGUGUCAGUGGUGAUCCCUGUGUGUCUCCUGCUGCAGGACCCAGGCAGAGCGAGUGCGGAAGCCCCGGUGCUGCAGGGGCCCCCAGGGACUCCUGCCCCGCUACCUGGAGAGCCAAGCAGAGGGACAGGAGCAGCUCUUCAAACUGACAGACAACAUCCAGGACGAGUUUUUCAUCGCCGUGGAGAACAUCGACAGCUACUGCGUGCUCAUCUCCUCCAAGGCCGUGUAUUUCCUGAAGAGCAGCGACUACGUGGACAGGGAUUCCAUAUUCCUGGAGGUCAGGUAUGAUGACCUGUACCACUGCCUGGUGUCCAAGGACCACGGGAAUGUCUACAUCCAGCUCACCAAGAAGGCUGUGAACACCAGCAGCGGCGUGGCCAUGCCAGGCCCCUCCCAGCAGCGGCCCAUGGUGAAAGUGAAAUCAGAAGCUCUGGCAGUAAAGCUGUCCCAAGAAAUCAACUAUGCAAAGAGCCUUUAUUAUGAGCAGCAGCUGAUGCUGAGACUUAGUGAAAAUCAAGAGCAACUCGAGCUGGACUCUUGAAAAUCCACUUCCUCACUGCCAGAAAGAGCUGCAAGUACCAGGCUGGAGCCAGAAUUGUGUGACUAGAGAAGGAAAAAAAUAUAAUUUUAGUAUUUAGAGAAAACAAAAGAGGUGGCUUUUCUUUUUUAAGCACUAGUUGUAUAAGAGAGGUGUAGCUGAUGCAGCUUUGGGUCUGGGAGAAGCCCUGUAUUUUGCUAACAUGUAUAUAUGUACAAGUGUCCAUGUAAAUACAAAGGGCAGCGGGUGUUGGUAUAAAUAUGAGUCUGUUUACUGUGUAAAGAAAUUAAAGGAGCUCUACUGAGUCACACUGCACUACCUGACACAAGCCCUUCUCUCUCUCUGUCUUUUUUUUUGUCCUUGGGAAAACUGAUUUUCACAGUGCAGGAAUGUAGAUAAACCUUUAAAAAAUAAAAUUAAGAAUUAAUUUCAGCUGUUGGAA